UCAUGUGGAGUAGGUUUUCGAUUCUUCCCAAAUCUCCAAAACCCCACCCCUUCGACUCUCGCCCGCGUCGCUGCCCGCCGCCGUACUUCGGUGCCUCGUUCUUCUCGUCUAAAGACUCCGGCUUCUGUUUCCUGGAAUCCCACCUCCACCGGCCUCCUCUGCCAGGUGCUUCAUCCUGACAGGCCGUCGCCUUGCCCUCGGUGGGAUUAUGAGCGACCACCACGAGUCGAGAAGCGGCGGCGAGGAAUCCCUUGCCCUGCCCCUAACGAGGGACUCUCCUCAGCUCGUGGCCUUGUUGAAAGAGAUGAAGGAUGGGUUGGAUGUCGUGAGGAGCAAACUGGACGUCCUCACACAGAAGGCGUGCAUACAGUAAUAUUCAUGUAUGCACGCACACUGCGCGUGCUUACUUGAUCUUUGUUUUUCCCGACUCCCACAAAAUAGUGCCCGAUGCUUCUCUUCCGACGCUCCUGUCGAUGGCCACCGAGGAUGAGAGAUCCCGACGGUGGCCACUGUCGAGACGAAGACGACCAAGCACGAUCUCCAGCUCAGAGCAGAGUGGCUCAAGUGGCUUCUUGUUGUAAGUUCAUCUCCUAUGGUGGACGGUGGACCAAAUGAGGAUAUUUCACGACAAGCCUAUCGCGGUUGGCAUGCUAAGCGAGUUGGGAUUCAAUGGACCAGCAUUAUCAGAGGAUCUAAUCAUUGAAGUCUGCAGAUGUGGAGGGGCAGAGCUCUAUCCAUUUGCAGUAGGUUCCCGAGAAGUAAUAUGGAACAAUUUGUCCUAUCGAACAGAACAUUCAUUCGAUGGAAUCGAUCAGAUGUCACAGGUAUCGGUCAUACAGUUGCUAGCUUCAAGGAAAGGUGGGAUUCUUCUCAUGAACACAGAUGACAGAGUAUGAAGAUCAUAUCAACCUUAUAGGUUAGCUCGUCGCUGACAUUCAGUUAUCUGGACAGUUAGAGCAUCCGAGCGUGACUCCACUAGUCAUCGUUCGCUAAGUGCGACCAUUGUGCAUGUCAUAUAAUAUGACGGUGUGAUUGAGAGAUGGGAGUUCGUAUCUGUGCUGGUGCAUCAAUUGAUAAAGGGUCAGGUAAUAUUCAUGAGUUGACUGGCAUUGUCUGUUCUCUCCUCUCAGGAUUAGUAAAAGACGGGGAGCAUCAUUUGUCAGGCUUAUAUAAAUUUAUGGUCGACUGCUACUCUGUGAAACGGCCAUGAUAGAAAUAGUAUGGUAGCAUCGGCAUCACCAGGCAUCACCGCUGUCACAAACUUGUUGUGAGUAGCUUACUGGAGGUCGCAGGCUUUUGAGUCAUUAGGUAUCUCAUGAUCAUGUUUUUGUGAUGCACGAGUAUUGUUCUAUUUCUUUAACUUUGAUGGAUGAGGCCAUAUGCAGAUAAGUUUUCACAUACUGUAUGUAGCAGGGGAGCCACUGCUCGUCGACUAUCUAUUAUGAUAUAUCAUGUCAUGGACUCGGUUUGGUAGACCGACAGAUCCAAAGGUAAUUGAAGUUCAAAUAGGAAAAGCUUACCUUGUAAUGAAUGGUGCAACAGUAACAGUAUCGACAUCUUUAGCCUCAGAAAUAUGUCCAACGUCUCUGGAAUUCCAUCACCGCUUGCUGAUUCAGUCCACUUUAUUUCAUAUACAGGGAAGCGCUCGUCUACUUGUGUCUCUACCUUCCUAUCCUUCCUACUUGCUGUCUAAGAUAUCGAGCCAUGUAAGCCAAGCUUUCAAAUCAUGCUAUACAACUCAUGUAUGACUGCAGCAAUCUGUGUUCGGGAUUUAAUGGUUUAAGCAUAUCUAACAUUUUUGUAUCAUGUAUGUAUACUAAACAGCUGAUUGGAGGCAAAAAGAGGCUGGCUGUUGUGCAACCACUAAGCCAAUCCAUUCUCAGGAAGAUACGGUUAACCUCUGCUAAAAGCCACGUAACUGUCGCAUGGAGGUGACUGUACAACCAGUUCGGGACAUUAUUAUCUUGAUUAGUGUAGUAGUGGGUCCUUUAUUGUCAGUAGCAUUACGAGCACAACACGCAACUAUGCAUUUAUUUAUUUAUAUUUAUAUGCUUA